GAUUUCCACAGACAUGGCAUAAUUCCUGUGAUUUGAUUUGAAAUGAGAGACCAGCUCAGUGCUGAGUGAUGAGAUCUGAACGGGGAAUAAAAUAUGCUUGAAUUAAUUUGCAUAAUAGAAUUGGAUUGGUUACAAAGCUGUGUUUGUUGAAAGGGAUACCAGAGCCCCUUAGCUCACCAACAAGGGGACUUUGCAGAUACAGAAUGGGGUUUUGAGCUCUGGUGUGGGCCGUGGUAAUAUUCUUAAUGUAAUAAUAACCUGUCUCUAACUAUAAAUUAGCUACCUGGAAAUGAAAAAACAGGUCAGCCUGUCUGAUCCUUCCAGCUCUGUGGGGAGGGGACAGCUGAAAAACCAAAUCUGCUUGCUUUCUGCUAAGCGCUUUCGUCUUUCAUUCUCCACCCAAUAACAAUUUCCAGCAGGAGUCCAAAUAUACUUAAACACCCGUAUGUGUCAUUUUCUUUUACGGAGACAUCUGCUCUCAAGAUAGAGGGGUGAGCCUUCCCUUUCGAGCUGGUGGCUUUGUACAUCUAUUUUCCUGUCAUGUUAUUACUGCUGUGACUUUCAACAACAUUUAUUUUUCCCUCCAAGCAAUAUGCUCCCAUCAUAAAAUAAAGUCCUCCUAUAUGUUUUAGUAGAAUCCCAAUGCUUAGGCAUCCUUUGGGGGUCUUUAUUAAAACCAAUUAGAACAUUGAUAUAUUUCCCUAAUUAUUACCAACAUCAAAGUCUCCUUAGGAGGGCAGCC
rnacentral:lncRNA from 1 species